UAUAAAAUGCCUGAAAAAGGGUUAUUCUGAUAGGAUAAAUUAUGUAAUUAAAAAAUUACUUUUAUAA
rnacentral:tRNA from 1 species